ACGGGCCUCUCUCUCCGCCGCGGUGUCCUGCUGCCGGGAGGUUGCGGGCGGUGGGGGCUGGAGGAGAAGCCCGCUCCGUGUGUCGCUGCUGAAUCUCCUAGAGGAUGUGCUUAGCCAAACAAGGAAGGAGAUGGAGAAAUGGAAGGUGCAGAAACAGGAGCUUCAACCCAGAGGGGGAAGAAGGGGAAUCCCGGGAUGAUGGCAGAGGGAAGCUUCUGGAUGGCAGCUGGGCAGCAGGACCAGAGAGGAGGACAAAGGACCCUCGGAAGAAGGGUAGAAACAAAAGGGAGAUGUAAACAUUGUGCCCGACAUAACUGAGCUGUGAAUAUUUAUGCAGUCAUUGUCAACACGGAAUGUUGAUUUCACCAAGAGGUGUUAUGCCUGUGUUAGAGGAAGGUGGGGGAGCUCGUGUGUACCCACUGGGGGAAGUGAGAGGGUCAAAUCUCCGUCUCCCAUGUAAGAUGUAAAAAAAACAAAAAAAAAAAACCCACAAAAACUGAACGUGGACAUCCAGACCCAGUAUGAACAUAGCAUCUUAGAAAUAGGGAGUAGCAAGUUCGAGCCCUGCAUCGGGCUCUGCGCGGACACUGGAGCCUGCUUGGGAUUUGCUCUCUCCCCCCUCUCUCUCUCCCUCUCAAGAUAAGUAAACUUAAGAUAAAUUAAAAAAAAAA